rnacentral:rRNA from 1 species
UACGUAGGGGGCAAGCGUUAUCCGGAUUUACUGGGUGUAAAGGGAGCGUAGACGGAAUUGCAAGUCUGAUGUGAAAAUCCGGGGCCCAACCCCGGAACUUCAUUGGAAACUGUAUUUCUAGAGUGUCGGAGAGGCAAGUGGAAUUCCUGGUGUAGCGGUGAAAUGCGUAGAUAUCAGGAGGAACACCAGUGGCGAAGGCGGCUUGCUGGACGAUGACUGACGUUGAGGCUCGAAAGCGUGGGGAGCAAACAGG